rnacentral:rRNA from 1 species
AUUGAACGCUGGCGGCAGGCCUAACACAUGCAAGUCGAGCGAGCGGCGGACGGGUGAGUAAUGUCUGGGAAACUGCCUGAUGGAGGGGGAUAACUACUGGAAACGGUAGCUAAUACCGCAUACCAUCAGAUGUGCCCAGAUGGGAUUAGCUAGUAGGUGGGGGAACGGCUCACCUAGGCGACGAUGCCUAGCUGGUCUGAGAGGAUGACCAGCCACACUGGAACUGAGACACGGUCCAUACUCCUCGGGGAGGCAGCAGUGGGGAAUCUUGCACAAUGGGCGCAAGCCUGAUGCAGCCAUGCCGCGUGGGUGAAGAAGGCCUUCGGGUUGUAAAGCACUGUCAGCGGGGAGGCGUUAUCCGCAGAAGAAGCACCGGCUAACUCCGUGCCAGCAGCCGCGGUAAUUC